CCCAGGGGGAGGUAGUAGCUCGCCUCCCUUGGCUGAGCUCCCUCCUUGCCAAGCCAGAGGCCAACCACCCUACUCUCAAGCGCCUACAGGAGCCGGGGACGACAGAUUUGCAACGCCCCCACGUGGCGAGGCUUCACCCCGAUUGGACUCUGCCUUCCAACUGCUGGAGAUGGAGGAUGACAAGUGACGAGUCCCAGACUCAGUAACUCCGGUGACCCAUGCUGAGCCCAGGGUAAAACUCCAGGAAGCAGCCAGAUCAGAUCCAUCGCCCAUUAUCACCAAUAAGAGGUUAGAAUGUUAGGAUGUCCUUGGAACCACAGUAGAGGGGACGGCCAUCUUGCUAG